UACAGAGGGUGCAAGCGUUGUUCGGAAUUACUGGGCGUAAAGCGCGUGUAGGCGGUUUAGUAAGUCGGUUGUGAAAUCCCUAGGCUUAACCUAGGAACUGCAUCCGAAACUACUAAACUAGAGUAUCGAAGGGGAUGGCGGAAUUCCCGGUGUAGAGGUGAAAUUCGUAGAUAUCGGGAGGAACACCUGUGGCGAAGGCGGCCAUCUGGGAGAUUACUGACGCUGAGACGCGAAAGCGUGGGGAGCAAACAGGAUUAGAUACCCUGGUAGUCCCUGAGCGGG
rnacentral:rRNA from 1 species